CUCUCUCUCUCUCUCUCUCUCUCUCUCUGUGUGAAAUUCUUCCAAUUUCCAUUAUGUUUCACUGUGAUUAUUGGAGAGGUUAAAGAAUUGUAUAACCAUUGUGUUGUAGACUUGAAAUAAAGGUUUCAAUCUGUUAUUUUUUAGCGUGGUGCACUAGUUUAGCUGUGUUAGUUCUUGUCAAGUUUAGGGUUGAUUCUUAUAUCUGGUUCUUGAGAUCUUUGUGUGAUCUAUGAUUAGAACCUUAAGAGAAAGUCAGAUUGGUUCCUUUGUACAUUGAUCUCUUUGGAAGGCUGGUUUUACAUAGUGGAUUGGGCUGAUCCCGAGCCCCCCAGAUUAGCCCUUAUUUGGGUGAACUAGGUGACCAUUUUUUGGUGUUCUUAUUCUUUACAUUUUCUGCAUUUUAUUUACUGUUUGAGAUGCUGUGAUUUUUGCAGAAUGAUAGAUGUUUUUGGUUUGAUUGAGUGGCUGAAAAUAAAAGAUCAUUGAGAUUGAAAGCCAAUCUGCAGUUGACACAUAGUUGAAAUGAGAUGCUGAGCUAUCAUUGUUGAGCUUGGAUAUUCUCAGUUUUUGAGUUUAUUUUUAUUUUUGUUUGUAUAACAUAGGACAUGGGUGUGUGGUUACGGUUGUUUGAGUAAUAUAAUUAAAUCCUUGAAGAUUGUUCUUUAAA